rnacentral:lncRNA from 1 species
ACCCCCUGGCAAGGCUGGGGGACGGCAAGCAUGGGACGGCAAAUGACCGUGCGUGGCUGGUUGCAGGCAGGUGACUCUGUGGGAUUGUGUGUGACUGUGCCUGGGACACUGUGUGGCUGUGUGCAGGCAACACCAUGAGGGACUGUGUGGACGCUGCUGUGGAAAUUGCAUGACUGUGCCUGUGACACUGCGAUGGGACUGGGCGUGAGCAGAAGGAGGUCCUAUUGCCAUCCCCCAUUG